rnacentral:rRNA from 1 species
UACAGAGGGUGCAAGCGUUGUUCGGAAUUAUUGGGCGUAAAGCGCGUGUAGGCGGCUUUGCAAGUCGGGUGUGAAAGCCCUCAGCUCAACUGAGGAAGUGCGCCCGAAACUGCAGAGCUUGAGUGCCGGAGAGGGUGGCGGAAUUCCCCAAGUAGAGGUGAAAUUCGUAGAUAUCGGGAGGAACACCAGUGGCGAAGGCGGCGACCUGGACGGACACUGACGCUGAGACGCGAAAGCGUGGGGAGCAAACAGG